CCCUUAGACGUUCUGGGCCGCACGCGCACUACACUGACCAGUGCAACAAGCAUCCGUCCUUGGCCGACAGGCUCGGGCAAUCUUUGAACGCUGGUCGUGAUGGGGAUAGACUUUUGCAAUUUUUGGUCUUCAACGAGGAAUUCCUAGUAAACGCAAGUCAUCAACUUGCAUUGAUUACGUCCCUGCCCUUUGUACACACCGCCCGUCGCACCUACCGAUUGAAUGGUCCGGUGAAGCCUCCGGAUUGGCGCGCACCCCGGUGCCGCCGAGAAGUUGGCUAAACCUUACCAUUUAGAGGAAGGUGAAGUCGUAACA
rnacentral:rRNA from 1 species